GGGGAUAUAGCUCAGUUGGUAAAGUGUUUGCCUCCCGUGCACAAGGCCCUGGGUUGGAUCCCCAGCACCACUG
rnacentral:tRNA from 1 species